UACAUACUGCGGACGAUUAAAGGAGCAAUGCCAAUAACAUAAUAUACCUAGCGCAUUGUUCUUAAAUAUUUGAGAGUAUAUACAGUACAUCCGAGAAUUUUUUUUUUAACAAAGUGUCGAGAGUAUAAAGCGCAUGCAUAGCGUAUAGUCCAGACAAUUGUGAAUUAGGCCAACGAUAUAGUACGUCAUAUUUGGCUUAAAUACGACCGAAGGGUAGAGCGGAAAAAGAGGCGUUUUAAUAACCAAACGCCCCCCCCCCCCCCNCCCCCCCCCUGUCUACUCGUCUGCUCUUAAACUCAGCGAACGGUCGCCAAGCUAACUCCGU